GGAGGGGUGCUAACGUUGCUCGGAAUUACUGGGCGUAAAGCGCAUGCAGGCGGCUUAUUAAGUCUCGUGUGAAAGCCCUGGGCUUAACCCAGGAAGUGCAAGGGAAACUGGUAAGCUAGAGUACUGGAGAAGUGGGCGGAAUUCCCGGUGUAGAGGUGAAAUUCGUAGAUAUCGGGAGGAACACCAGCAGCGAAAGCGGCUCACUUGACAGAUACUGACGCUCAGAUGCGAAAGCGUGGGGAGCAAACAGGAUUAGAUACCCUGGCAGUCCACGCCGUAAACGAUGGGCACUAGGUGUCGGGGGCUUGACCCCUUCGGCGCCAAAGCUAACGCAUUAAGUGCCCCGCCUGGGGAGUACGGUCGCAAGACUA
rnacentral:rRNA from 1 species